rnacentral:rRNA from 1 species
AACGAACGCUGGCGGCGCGCCUAACACAUGCAAGUCCCACGAGAAACCCUGUAGCAAUACGGGGCGGUAAAGUGGCGAACGGGUGAGCAAUGCGUGGGUAACCUACCUCCGAGAUUGGGAUAACCCGCCGAAAGGCGGGCUAAUACCGAAUAAGACCACAUGCCGACAGGCACGGGGGUAAAAGGUGGCCUAGGGUCCGCAAGGACUAUGCUGCCGCUUGAAG